UUAUACUAGCGAUUCCACGGCUUAACAAAAAACGUUUGACGAAAAACACGUAAUUUUCAUAAACUUUGCUCUCUUAUAUCUUUUUGUAUGGUUAAACUAGCGCCUUGAGGUUCUUUGCAUCAGUUAGUUUUACUCAAUCUCUUUCCAAAAAUAUAUAGAAAGUACUAAGGUUUGUAUGGCUUUAUUUAUAUAUUGUCAAUAUCUCAAGACUAUUUUUUUCAUAAAAAACUUGCCGCGGGAACGUUUUUUUAAAACGAAGCUUUUAAAGGUAUGGAUUACUUUGUACUUAAACACAUCUAUUUUUUAUGAAACUUUCUUUAUUUAUUAAGAAAAGGAUGAGGAAUCUAAUGAAAUCUGGACGCUUUUUAACUUUUAUAGAAAAAAUUUUAGUUCUCAGCGUUUAAAAACUUCAAGGUUGAUUUAUAUGAAAAAAAGUGUUUUUCAAAAACGUCCAGGUGGAAAUGGCAAGUUGAGCCUUUUUUUUAUUUAAAACAAGUAUUUAUUUAAAUUUACCUAAGGAAUUGGAACUUAGGAAUUGCGUAUGUAAAUUAUGUGUAUAUAUAUGCUUUUCUUCGCGUAUUUUAUGACGUUAUUUAUUUUUAUUUUUGCGUUUGUUUUGGUCAAAUUAUAUAAAAUAAAUUGAUAGUGAAAGUAUAACUUCUAAAAUGUUAAUCAAAUGAAAAUAAAUAUUUUACUUCUUCUCAGGUAUAAGUUUUGCAUGGUGCAAGAAAGUUAAAAGCUUGAUUUUCACUAUUUUAACUACAGGUUGUCCUUAUUUAAACUGCUUCUUUUUUCAAAACAAAAACCUGAAAAUAGUGUUGAACUAAAGCUCACGAAAAUGGACUUGAGUAAAAAAUUCUUUAUUUUUUUUUUACAUUUAUUCAUCUAUUUUUGUUUGUUGGUUAAAGUAUUAUGAACUCUAGUAAUACUUACUUUAAUCCCCUUUAAGUGUUGGCAUUAACUAUACUAUAGUUAAUGCCAACACCUAAAGUAAGGGGAUUAAAGUAAGUAUUACUAGAGUUCAUAAUACUUUAACCAACAAACAAAAAUAGAUAAUUGUCUAUAGACUAUAGUCUAUAGUCCUGAAAAAAAUGGUUGCUCCAUCUAUAACUCAAGAAACAUCCAACACUGUCUUGGAUUAUCUAAAUAUUAAUGGAGGCAUUGUAUCCCUCAAAAAUCCAGAUUUGGUUUUAACCAAUAGUCAUUUCUUACAACUUUGUUAGGAAAAAGAUAAAUUUAACUUGACAUGGCCGCAGCUUAUAUUAUUUUUUACAUCCUUGUUUCAGUUUCCUAUUUAUGCUUGUUCUAUAAUGCUAUUAUGCUAUUAUGCUAUAUUCAGUUUCCUAAUUAUGCUUAUCAAAUGCCUAAAAAAAUCAAAAGAUUUCAUUGCAAAAUUAAAUCGUGCCAAAAAUUUUGAUUUAACAAAGUAUUUUUUAAGCUCUGUUUUCUCUUUGAAUGUUGCAUUUAAUGAUGUUGUUGGUUUGUUACCUUCUUCCCCUACUUCUAUCCACUCUAAUGAAAUUGUUCCAAAUCAAGUUACUGAUUUUGUAUUUUCUGAUGUAAACAUGCAAAUUGCUAGUGAUAAUUAUUUGUGCUCUGUUACUCCAAAUUCUAUUGUACACAUUCCUUUAGGUAAUGAUUCUGAUAAUUUUCUCCUUGAAACACAAGUCAAUGAAGAGAAUCUUCCAGUUUCCAAUUCGGAUAAAAAAACUCCCUAUAUUAUCUGGUGAUUUGACCUAUCAAAUAAAAAAAUAUAAACGGAGAUUGCAAAAUAAAAAAAUUAAUAGAAGAUGUUAUGAAUAUAAAAGAAAAUAUCAAGCAAUCUUGUCAAAAUAUAAUGUUCGAAAUAUCAACAAAAGAGACGUUAGAAAAGAUUGUAAGAUUAACCAAUUGUUGCAAAUAAAUUUAAAAUUAGAAAAAGAAAUUGAUUUGGUUAGAAAGCAUUCCUAAUCAGAUCGACAAAAGGCCUGGUAUUUAAAGAAAAAAUUGAAAACACUAUUUUGAAAACAUCUGAUGAAACAAAUGAUUCAUUCUUAAAAAAGAGUUUGGAUUACUUUGAAAAUCUUACAGAAGAACUGAAGGAAAGAGUUGACAUUUAAAAAAAAAAAUGUAAUUGACAUUUAUGAAGGAGGUAGAUAUAAUGAUGAAAUUCACUCGGUAUAUUACGACCUUUUAAGUAAAAAUGUUUCUGUUAAUAAUUUUGAAUCUGUUAUCAGAACUACAAAAAAUGGCUGGAAUGUCAUGUGGCACACUUCCAAAAAAAUCUUUGGCUUCUGAACUUUUUAUUGAAAUGAACCUUUUAGCAAAAGCUCAAGUGAGAGAGGCUAUGUUGAUUAGUACAAACAAUGUUCUUCAUACAGAUGGCACAAAAUAUAAUUUUAGAGAGGUUGGUAGUUUUCAAGUCACAACCUCAUCUGGUAGCUACACGUUUGGGAUAGAAGAUAUGUUUUCGGGAGAGGCACAAUCUUAUUUUGGAGAUCUAAAAAACUUACUCACUGAUAUGUCUAAGAUAUUUUCUCCUGACAAGGAAAACUACGAGAAUGAUCUUAGGAAACUUAUUUUUUCUUUCAAAUCUUUGAUGACAGAUCGCAUCGCACUAUUGUUAAUUCAAGAUUUUUUCACCAAUUUAAACAUUGGAGAGAAGCAAUUUUGCCUUUUGUUGUUGAAAACUAUGAUCAGCUUCCUUUAAAUGAAAAAUUAAAAACGCAUGUUUGUGUUCAUGUAAACAUUGUAAGUCAUUAUAUGUAUGUUUGUGUUCUGUUGGACCUCUGAAGUGGUGUUAACACACAUGUAAGUCACUAUAUGUAUGUUUGUGUUUAUGUACCUGUUACUCAUUAUGUGUAUGUUUGUGUUCUGUUAGACUUCUGGAGCGGUGUUGACGACCCGUAAGUCACUAUUUGUAUGUUUGUGUUUAUAUACCUGUUACUCAUGUGUAUAUUUGUGUUCUGUUGGACCUCUAUGUAUGUUUGUGUUUAUGUACCUAACAGUCAUUAUGUGUAUGUUUGUGUUCUGUUGCACCACUGGAGCGGUGCUGACCCACCUCUAAGUUAUUAUAUGUAUGUUUGUAUUUAUGUAGCCAUUAGUCAUUUGUGUAUCUUUGUGUUUAUUUACCUGUAAGUCAUUAUAUGUAUCUUACUCUUCUGUUGGAUCUGUGGAAUGGCUAUAAUUUCAUUUGAUAAUGCAGGUUAGUCAUUUUGAUCAAGCUUUUGUUUUUUUUAUUUAUGUUUGUGUUCUGUUGGUCUUGUGGCACAGCGUUGAAACAACAGUAAGUUAUUGUAUGUAUAUUUGUGAGUUGUUCCAACUUGGCUGCAAGCAAUCAUUGUAGGAGUUAAAAGUUACUGGAAGAAAAAAGAUGAAGUUUUUAGAGUAAGAUAACAAUUGACAGAUGACUUAAAAGAUUGCAAAUUAUAAAGGAAGCGAAUUCCAAAGAACUGAUGUUCGAGGAAAAAAAUAGAAGAAUAAGAGUUUUUUGAGCACUUAGAAACAGUCACAAGAGAAUGAAUUUUAGUAGAUAAACAUGGUACGCUAGCUUUUUAUAGCAGUGCCCAUAUUUGUAGAAAAGAGAAAGAGAAGCACCAUUACAACGAUGUGAUAAUGGUUGGAGGUUUACAAUGCAUUUUUGCUCCUUGUCUAAAAGAGAAAGGGCAUCAUUAGAAUAUCUGCCCCAGCGUUUUUUUCAGCGUUUAGUGCCGCAGGGUCUGUGUGUUUUGUGAUUGUGAUGUUAUUGUUGUGAUGUUUUGUGUUGAUAGACAACUUGGCUUACCUUCUCGCGGGUGUCUACCGUUAAAAAUGAUUAUUAGAUUGAUUCGUUACUGAAACUACUUUUAAUCAUUCACUAAAAGCCAAGAGAUAAAUUUUAGACUAACAAUAUUUUUUGUUUUAAUGUUGUUUUCAUUUUUUCAUCUUAGGUGUUGUCAAUAGUUCACUAAUCUCAAAAAAUAAGUUUCUUAUUUUAUAUUUAUUUAGUUUUAUUUGUUAAUUUAUAACUUUUUUUAAUUUUUAAUUUUUAAAAUAAAUUAACAAAUAUUUUUUAAAAAUUAUUGUGUAUCUAAUGUAAUUUGAUGUAUUUUUGUAUGUAUGUAGAUGAAUUGUUUUAAUAAUAAUUUUAUUACAUUUUUAGGUAGAGUUCUGCUGUUAUACCUACUAUUACUGUUGUAAGUACUCAAAAUUUCAGGAAGUUCUGUUGCUCAUGUUAAAGAAUAUUUCUGCACGGUGCACUCUGACCUGUUGACAAUAUUUGCAUACUGAUAUGAGUAAAAGUGACUUCAACAACCAGAAUGUAUUUUUGAUAAAUAUUAGUAAUAACAGAUUUUAAAGUUCUUGCAAAAGAUGGUUUUAUCUAUGAAAAUAUUGAAAUUAAAAUCAAUCUUGCUGUUAUCAUAUGUGAUGGACCAGCUAGAGCAUUUGUAAAGUGUAUUAAAGGACACAAUGGUUAUAACUGAUGUGAAUGUUGUGUUUUGAAAGGAGAGUGGUGUGUUCAUAUUGAAACAAGAUAUUGUGUAAAGAGGUUUUCAAAGAAGUCGUUUUAACAACAAUGGAAAAGCUUCCAAUUCCUGAGAUAACCGUGAAAGCAUUCGAUACAUUAAAGAAUUGUUUAAAAGUUUGCUUAAUUUCGACAGUGUAAUUUUAAUUACUAUUUUUUUGAAAUAAA
rnacentral:lncRNA from 1 species